rnacentral:rRNA from 1 species
UACAGAGGGUGCGAGCGUUAAUCGGAAUUACUGGGCGUAAAGCGUGCGUAGACGGCUAUCUAAGUCGGGUGUGAAAGCCCCGGGCUCAACCUGGGAAUUGCAUUCGAGACUGAAUAGCUAGGGUACGGUAGAGGGAAGCGGAAUUUCCGGUGUAGCGGUGAAAUGCGUAGAUAUCGGAGGAACACCGAUGGCGAAGGCAAUCCCCUGGACCUGUACUGACGCUCAUGCACGAAAGCGUGGGGAGCAAACAGG